GGAGGGUGCAAGCGUUAUCCGGAUUCACUGGGUUUAAAGGGUGCGUAGGUGGGCAAGUAAGUCAGUGGUGAAAUCUCCGGGCUUAACCCGGAAACUGCCAUUGAUACUAUUUGUCUUGAAUAUCCUGGAGGUGAGCGGAAUAUGUCAUGUAGCGGUGAAAUGCUUAGAUAUGACAUAGAACACCCAUUGCGAAGGCAGCUCACUACGGGAACAUUGACACUGAGGCACGAAAGCGUGGGGAUCAAACAGGAUUAGAUACCCUGGUAGUCCACGCCCUAAACGAUGGAUACUCGACAUCAGCGAUAAACUGUUGGUGUCUGAGCAAAAGCAUUAAGUAUCCCACCUGGGAAGUACGAUCGCAAGAUUGAA
rnacentral:rRNA from 1 species